rnacentral:rRNA from 1 species
UACAGAGGGUGCGAGCGUUAAUCGGAAUUACUGGGCGUAAAGCGCGCGUAGGCGGCUUUGCAAGUCGAGUGUGAAAUCCCCAGGCUUAACCUGGGAACUGCAUUCGAGACUGCAUAGCUAGAGUAUGGGAGAGGGAAGUGGAAUUCCCGGUGUAGUGGUGAAAUGCGUAGAUAUCGGAAGGAACAUCAGUGGCGAAAGCGACUUCCUGGACCAAUACUGACGCUCAUGUGCGAAAGCGUGGGGAGCAAACAGG